rnacentral:rRNA from 1 species
AGUGAACGCUGGCGGUAGGCCUAACACAUGCAAGUCGAACGGCAGCACAGGAGAGCUUGCUCUCUGGGUGGCGAGUGGCGGACGGGUGAGGAAUACAUCGGAAUCUACCUUUUCGUGGGGGAUAACGUAGGGAAACUUACGCUAAUACCGCAUACGACCUUCGGGUGAAAGUGGGGGACGUUCGGGCCUCACGCGAUUAGAUGUGCCUAUGUCGGAUUGGCUAGUUGGCGGGGUAAUGGCCCACCAAGGCGCCGAUCCGUAGCUGGUCUGAGAGGAUGAUCGGCCACACUGGAACUGAGACACGGUCCAGACUCCUACGGGAGGCAGCAGUGGGGAAUAUUGGACAAUGGGCGCAAGCCUGAUCCAGCCAUACCGCGUGGGUGAAGAAGGCCUUCGGGUUGUAAAGCCCUUUUGUUGGGAAAGAAAUCCUAUCGAUUAAUACUCGGUGGGGAUGACGGUACCCAAAGAAUAAGCACCGGCUAACUUCGUGCCAGCCGCCGCUGUAAUAC